UCGUUUCUAUCUUCAAACCGUUCCUGGUUUUACAUUUUACAUAACACAUGAAUAGAGACUGUUCCUUACCUCACACACACAAGCUGUCAGAAGGUCUUUUAGCGGUCGGGUGAAGAGAACGCUCAAAUGCCUCCGCGUUCACUAUUAGGCCGCUUAGGGUUGUACCGUAGUCUCGUCCAACCGCAAGGCCGCCACCGCCGCAUCAGGGAGUGGCCGUUCCGCCGGUCCGGACCGCCCCAGUCCUCUCUCUCCUCCGACGAGAACACGCACGCGCUGCGCCUCCUCGUCCGCCAACACCCGCGCAAGACCCGCUCGACCGACGUCUCAUCCUCCGCGUCCUCCACGACGCCCUUGACGACUCACAACCAGACAACAGGACGACGACUAACUGGUUCCUCUUCCCGUCGACGACCACGUAGACCUAGACGACGACGAGACACCCCACACCGACGCCGACGACGAACCUUCCCGAGGACAGGACCGACGACGACGAUGACCACCUUGACACACCGUCUCCUCCUCGUCACCUCCUCACAUCUCUUCCAUCUUCCACUCCAGGGGAAGUUGACACCGACGACCAUCCAACGUUCCCUCUUCUUUCCCUCCACGGACCACGGACGACACACACGCUCGUCUCUUUUCCACUUGACCACUCCAUCACUUCUACUUCUACUGAACACCGAAGUUGUUCAUCUCUUCUCCACACAACGGAUUUAGACUUAAACAAGCACCCAACAACAACAACGGAACCUCACCUCUCUUCUUGUUUCGUCAUCUGGUUUCUCGUCACACGUUAACUCCGACACUCCCAGUCUCAUUCAAAGCUAACCAUCACCUCAACACUCACUAACACACUUCCACACGUAAGACCAUCACCUUCCGGUCCCUUAAACGUCGAAAUACCUACCUUUUAUAGUCCGAGACAAAAGGCCCUAACCAUUCGUUUCCCUGCUACCAAGUCCAAACCAUCUCCAUUUCCUACACCAUCACCAUGACGUUUUAGUACCGUCGCUCUCCCCCUAACCAACACAGGUUUAUGUUCUACACUCUUACAUUUAAAACGUAAAGCUCCACAGACAUUAGCGACAGCCCGUCGUGCAGGAUGACUACAAUCACGUUACCCCUGUUGAUUUUUACUACCUUUUAGAGUCUGAUAAUGACAGCUUUACUGAUGACUACUCAACUUCUUCACCGAAGCCAAGUUCCUUCCUUAGUAACUACUUUCCAGUUGUUGGUUCUAUAAACGAUGUAGACGAUUGGGGACACCAUUAUGAAGCUUUAAACACUUUCCUUCAAUAAAACUCUGACCAUGUGUCACCAAUUAUCUGAGACCACGCAGAUUUGUAUACCGGCCAAGUAUAUUCCUAAAGACGUCAAUAUGAGGACUAAAAUGUCCCGUUUUACAAUCUGAACGACUACCAAGACCGGUCUCAUAAUUCCCUCAUCCGUGUCAAUUUACAACGGGUUUAUACUGAGAUAGUAGACAAAAUGUACAAGGGAGUAAGGGUUAGUUAAACGAUAGGUAGUCGACGUAAUGUCCUCUUGAAUUAACACGACAUUAGAAGAAGGGUUGUACCACAAAUAAGGACCUUGAACCCUGAACCUUUUAGGAACCCUGUCCUUAAUACGCUCCACCAGAUAUGAUGAACCUACUACUAUACCGUGGAUACUGACGACAACACGAUAGAGUCAGUGGUAACCUUCUUAAAGAAGAAGUAGUAGCGUCCGACCCUGUGUAUAGGAAAUUGUGGGACCCAGUCAACAUAGGAUAAGAGAUAUUAUUUUAAACGUUUCUUUCAGAUCAUACACUACGAACAGUCAUACCCUUCGAUUGGGCAUCAUAUAUAUGAAGUAGACUAGUGUCUUCAUACCACGGUAAAGUUUGAUAGGUGAGUCUACACACCCCAGGAUCACCCCACACCAGUGAAAUACCUAUGUUUAGAAAGCAAUGUAAAUAACUGACAACGUGAUCCUGAUGAACCCAAAUACAUGACUCUUUAUUUUCACUGCACAAACUUACGAAAUUCCUAAAGGUGUUGGAUUAGUUCUUAGUUAUACUACGUGCCCACUUUUAUAAAGCUUGACUGUUACCAUGUCUUAUACAUUUAUUGGUUAAACUACUCAUAGACAGUUCGAAACCCUAAUAGGUAGUUUGAUCAACGGGUCCAUGAAGGGUCGUCUUACCCAACCGACUUUCCUUCUUGUCUGUAGAGAAUCUUUAGUGGACCACAUAGUACAAUCGAUACUUACAAGGAUUUAUAAACACCCGACUUCGACACUACUGUCGCCGAAUAAACUACUUAUCUUACGGUAGGGCCCACGAGUUAUUGUUCUGUGGCGAACUCACAGAUUGACCACUUUGGUGUAUACAACACGGUGGUUUCCAUAAACCUACACAUACAAAACACUCCCUAGUAUCUGGUAGUCAACCGUUCAAACUGGGAUCUCGUCACUUUACACAUAAACACCCUAUGAGACCUUUUGUUUUCCCAAUAUUUACAACCACGGGUAGUCUCUUUGCCUACAAACACUCGUACCUACAUCACAAGUCCCUCGUACUUGGAAAGAUACCCCUUAGUCAUCUAAAUUGACUACAGAAAGGACUAAAUAUACAAUUACUACGAUGUCUAGACCUGUUGCUCUAUCCCCCUCUAUUUCCACUUCUUAUAUUACUUCGUCGUAGGUCCUUAUACUAACAACCUCACUAAGGUCGACGUCUAUACAUACUGCUACUUCUACUUCCAUGUAGUCUUCGACUUGUCUUUGCCUGUGUCCCCCUCGAUGCUCUACUUAGUUUACUUCGACAAUUCACCGGAUUUGGUUUACUUCUUGUUCUUCAAGUCCACAUAUUUUCCUCUGUCACCGGAUUUGGUUUACUUCUUGUUCUUCAAGUCCACAUAUUUUCCUCUUUGGCUAGACUCUUCCUUCAAUAAGGUAGAUCCACACUAGUACUUCGAGUUCUUCGAGGACGUUAUGUUCGUGUUCUUUGGAACGGUUCACACUGUGUUAGUCUACACGUACUCAGUAGAGGAGUUCAACUACUCAAUCUAUAAGGAUAGCGAGCGUCUUUCGUCGGUGCAAGGUGACGUCCCUUCAAUGGUAGUUUAGAUAGAGUUAUACUAUAAAGAUUAAUACAGAGUAUACAUAGUAACCCGAGGGUUAUAUUUAGUAAAUAUCUACGUGAUCUAAGGUGAGAUGGAUAUGGUGCACUAACCGUCCUCCGCUUUGUUAUAGGCCUCACCUCUCGACGAUACUAUCUCCUCUACUGUCGUGAACUAUUUUUAUUAUGAACCCGUUACUACUACUACCCUAUCGUAAGGAUUUCUUCUACAACCGGUUCAGUAAACUUCAAUUCCUAGACCCAAAAGAAGUAAUAAAGGACCCUUAACUCUGGUCGCUGUUGAGGUUAACUCGUCUUGGUAGCAUAAGCUCGUCUAAGACCACUAGGACACCUGUUUGUAGUUAUAGUUUCCAAUCAACCAGCCAAUUAAAUAAAUAGUGUGUGAUCCGGUCUGUAACGGAUACGACAAUCGAACCACUCGUCUAAAUACGUACUGGGCUCUAGUUCAGUAAAUCUACAACACGUGUCUUAUGAUUCUAUAGAAUUUCCAACAGGCCCUUCUCCCUAAGAUAAAAGAUUAGUACCUGUGAAUUUUCAUCUCCCAAAAUGACUACGACUAACCCGACCCACGGAUCUGCUAUCUUCCAGAUGUAGACCGAUGACACAAAAGCAACCACCAUUAGAACAAUCAACCUCCUCGUUUUUUGUUUCACACCACCGUGCUAGAUGACGACUUCGUCUCAAAUCUAGGUACCGAAGUCCUGAUACACUUAACUACACCAACUCCUAUGAUAAUAGACUUGAAUCCGAAAAACUACCUCCUGGUGACGUUGAAAAAACACUAUUGGUCCGACAUUAGUUCAAUUAUGUGUUAGGUCAGGUCGUACUAUCUUGAUUUGUGUAGCUUUAACUAUCUGUAAAGUAUUCUCUUUUCGAUCUGCUCCCUGAAGAGGUUCAACUGAAACAAUCUAGACUUUUAGUUGAACGUCUACAUAAUUGUUUCCCACAAUCACAACAUAGAAAACUUUUUGAUACAUCGUUCUACCCCGAGUAUUUAUAUAAACGGGGUAGAACUCCCCCUCACAACCAUCAUGGACAUUCGUUUCUAUCUUCAAACCGUUCCUGGUUUUACAUUUUACAUAACACAUGAAUAGAGACUGUUCCUUACCUCACACACACAAGCUGUCAGAAGGUCUUUUAGCGGUCGGGUGAAGAGAACGCUCAAAUGCCUCCGCGUUCACUAUUAGGCC
rnacentral:rRNA from 1 species